UGGGGAGUAAUACACAAGGAAUGCAAUCUAAAUUCUAGUUGCUGUAAAGUUAAGUGACGAUCCAAACUAGAAGUUCUCUGCCUAGUGCUGACCACAAGAUAUGAAAGAAGUAAAUGAUCACACACACGCGCAAAGGAAAUUCAGAUUUGAUGCAAACAAGGAGUAUGAUUGAGAUGCAAGUGUUGCAAUCAGACCCAACCAAAAUAUUGCACCAAACAAAGAUAGCAAACUGGUUGUUCAACUCAAUACAAAAACUUUCAGCAAUGAUGCACUUGACAUAACCGAUCUUGCAGCUUUCUUUCUAAAAUUUUUUUCUUCUCUCUUUUUUUUGACACACUUUUAUUUUUAUAACUAAACACAAUGAUCAGAUAUAAUACUUACAAACUUGAUGAUAGAAACAAAGCACAACCAGAAACUAUAACUUGAUAGGAUCAAUGAUAACACAAAGGAUGAUAUAGGCUAUAGAAUUUUUUUUGGGGGAUUUUUAGAUAUAAAAGAGGCACAAAGAACACGCGAAGGAUAAAUGAUCAGCAACUAAAACAAAGACUCUAAUGGACUGCGACUUAACUGAGCUCACUAAAAUAAAAGAUUGAAACAAAGGUCUAAGCAAUAUAUUUUUCUGGCAUUUUGGUGGAUAGGAUGAAGCAAAAAUAUAUAUAUGUAGCUAGGG
rnacentral:lncRNA from 1 species